rnacentral:rRNA from 1 species
UACCAGCACCCCGAGUGGUCGGGACGUUUUAUUGGGCCUAAAGCAUCCGUAGCCGGUUCUACAAGUCUUCCGUUAAAUCCAGCUGCUUAACAGAUGGGCUGCGGAAGAUACUAUGGAGCUAGGAGGCGGGAGAGGCAAGCGGUACUCGAUGGGUAGGGGGUAAAAUCCGUUGAUCCAUUGAAGACCACCAGUGGCGAAGGCGGCUUGCCAGAACGCGCUCGACGGUGAGGGAUGAAAGCUGGGGGGAGCAAACCGG